UACGUAGGGUGCGAGCGUUGUCCGGAAUUAUUGGGCGUAAAGGGCUCGUAGGCGGUCUGUCACGUCGGGCGUGAAAACCCAGGGCUCAACCCUGGGCCUGCUUCCGAUACGGGCAGACUAGAGGUAUGCAGGGGAGAGUGGAAUUCCUGGUGUAGCGGUGAAAUGCGCAGAUAUCAGGAGGAACACCGGUGGCGAAGGCGGUUCUCUGGGCAUUACCUGACGCUGAGGAGCGAAAGUGUGGGGAGCGAACAGG
rnacentral:rRNA from 1 species